rnacentral:lncRNA from 1 species
CAGGAAAGCUCAAAGAUAAAUAAGCACUGACUGAGUAUACACUGUAACUUCUAUAUGGACAAGAAGGAUUGGGACUUAUGGAAUGUUAUUAUCUUCUUGACAGAAAACUGAGUUGGAGGUGGAAGAAGGGAAAAAUAGCUGCCUUCAGUCCUGCUGCUAAGACUGAAGAUGGGUAAGCAUUGAAUUAUACAUUUCAGUGGCAUGAGAAGGAUGUGGGGA